rnacentral:rRNA from 1 species
GACGAACGCUGGCGGCGUGCUUAACACAUGCAAGUCGAACGCUGAAGCUCAGCUUUUGUUGGGUGGAUGAGUGGCGAACGGGUGAGUAACACGUGAGUAACCUGCCCCCUUCUUUGGGAUAACGCCCGGAAACGGGUGCUAAUACUGGAUAUUCACUGGUCUUCGCAUGGGGGUUGGUGGAAAGGGUUUUUCUGGUGGGGGAUGGGCUCGCGGCCUAUCAGCUUGUUGGUGGGGUGAUGGCCUACCAAGGCUUUGACGGGUAGCCGGCCUGAGAGGGUGACCGGUCACAUUGGGACUGAGAUACGGCCCAGACUCCUACGGGAGGCAGAAGUGGGGAAUAUUGCACAAUGGGCGCAAGCCUGAUGCAGCGACGCCGCGUGAGGGAUGGAGGCCUUCGGGUUGUGAACCUCUUUCGCUCAUGGUCAAGCCGCAACAAUGGUUGUGGUGAGGGUAGUGGGGAAAGAAACGCCGGCUAACUACGU